rnacentral:rRNA from 2 species
AAGUCGAGCGGAUGAGGAGAGCUUGCUCUCUGAUUCAGCGGCGGACGGGUGAGUAAUGCCUAGGAAUCUGCCUGAUAGUGGGGGACAACGUUUCGAAAGGAACGCUAAUACCGCAUACGUCCUACGGGAGAAAGCAGGGGACCUUCGGGCCUUGCGCUAUCAGAUGAGCCUAGGUCGGAUUAGCUAGUUGGUGAGGUAACGGCUCACCAAGGCGACGAUCCGUAACUGGUCUGAGAGGAUGAUCAGUCACACUGGAACUGAGACACGGUCCAGACUCCUACGGGAGGCAGCAGUGGGGAAUAUUGGACAAUGGGCGAAAGCCUGAUCCAGCCAUGCCGCGUGUGUGAAGAAGGUCUUCGGAUUGUAAAGCACUUUAAGUUGGGAGGAAGGGCAUUAACCUAAUACGUUAGUGUUUUGGCGUUACCGACAGAAUAAGCACCGGCUAACUUCGUGCCAGCAGCCGCGGUAAUACGAAGGGUGCAAGCGUUAAUCGGAAUUACUGGGCGUAAAGCGCGCGUAGGUGGUUUGUUAAGUUGAAUGUGAAAGCCCCGGGCUCAACCUGGGAACUGCAUCCAAAACUGGCAAACUAGAGUAUGGCAGAGGGUGGUGGAAUUUCCUGUGUAGCGGUGAAAUGCGUAGAUA